CCUACGGGAGGCAGCAGUGAGGAAUAUUGGUCAAUGGGCGGAAGCCUGAACCAGCCAAGUCGCGUGAGGGAUUAAGGCCCUGCGGGUCGUAAACCUCUUUUGCCGGGGAGCAGUGGUCCGGACGCGUCCGGACCGGGAGAGUCCCCGGAGAAAAAGCAUCUGCUAACUCCGUGCCAGCCGCCGCGGUACUACGGAGGAUGCGAGCGUUAUCCGGAUUUAUUGGGUGUAAAGGGUGCGUAGACGGAAGAACAAGUUGGUUGUGAAAUCCCUCGGCUCAACUUAGGAACUGCAACCAAAACUAUUCUCCUUGAGUGUCGGAGAGGAAAGUGGAAUUCCUAGUGUAGCGGUGAAAUGCGUAGAUAUUAGGAGGAACACCAGUGGCGAAGGCGACUUUCUGGACGAUAACUGACGUUGAGGCACGAAAGUGUGGGGAGCAAACAGGAUUAGAUACCCUAGUAGUC
rnacentral:rRNA from 1 species